GCUCUUCCGAUCGGUUGAAGGGAGAUAGUGCAUCAAGUUAUUCGCAAGGGCCAACUUGAUCCUCUUCCCCAGGGAUCUCAGAUGAGGGAAGCCUAGGAGAGCCGCCGACUCCAACUAUCGUCCAUGUACGAUCCAUACUAGAUCUGACC